AUUAGCCCUCGUUCAGCCUCGUUGCUGCCUGAAAUGCCCAUGAAUUACGGCCGAUCCUUGCUGAAGCGGUGUUUGUAUAGCAGAGAUGUGACGUCACUGGAUUCCAGGGGCGUUGCUUUCAACUUCAUCCACUUGAAUCCGGGUGGCGCAGAUCGCUUGCGCUGACACGUCAGUGCCCAACAUGUUGGACGAGGUCAGCCAAGUCAGGGACGUGGCAACGAAGUGUCGCCGCUUAAAAACUGUGAUCCUGCAGUCCUCGCCUGCUCCCGCCGCCAGCGCUCUGCAUCAAGCAAGGUCUGCAGCAUGGUGUUGCUUUCAACCACUGCCGCUUGGACAGCAGCAGGAGUGGGAGCCCUGCUCGGACUGCUGAGCCCAUGCUGCCUGCUGUGUGUGAUUCACUGCUUAGGAUUCGGUUCCGACGGAGUUGCAGCAGGCUCCCUGGCCGCCUGCGCGCAGUCCUCGAUUGGCGACGUCUCCGAAGGGAGCUUGUUCGCGUGCUGCCAGAGCUGGGGAGCCGCGGGAUGUCACUGCGCAGUGUACAUCACACUCGCCGCUCUCGGAGCAGUAGCCGGCUACUACACCGCCAGCGCCGUCGCUGCGGCUCUGUGAAAUCUACGUAUGCAUCACUACUGCCAGUGAACAAAUGUAACACAUAAUGAAAGCAGCUAGUGGACGGCCACAAAAACUUUUUUGAUUGCGUAACAAAACAUUUUGUGACCUAAUAAGUCCUAUGCUUCGAUCGCUAUAUAUAUUCAUGAUGAAAAAUGCCGGCUCAAAAUAUUGCGGCAGAACCCAUCUCACGAUGUGUGCCGGCGGUAAUAGGGAGGAGGUUUAGAAUAGGGGCCGAACGCUUGGGGUCUCCCAACAAGCAACCGCUUUGCGGUCGCGGUCUGCCCCGCCAAAAAGGUGCUUUAGAAUAGGGUUCCCAGCUUCCGUUAGGGUCACGCGAUUGCGGCGCUCUUCCUGCAUGCGGAAAGCAAAUGAAAACAAGAGAAAAAAAUGAAAUAAUGCAAUCCGCCACAUUUUACACAAUGAAAAGCGUACCUGUGAGUUUGUUUUCAAUGAAGAGGCGUUGACGCGUUUUUACAAGUGCGCGGCGACGUUGAGAUGAUGCAAAGUAGAUUUGGAGCGUGUGGGGCAUCCACGCUAGGGUUAAAAUUUCGUAUUAUGGGCAUGCGAAAACAUAAACGUAAAGGUAUCGUUUUGGGUUAGACGCAUGCGCACUGGCGAGACGGUAAUCGUUAGGAGACCCCUAUCUUCGGUAGCCCCUAUUUUUAAACGGCCCAAUGUGUUAAGUAUUGAAUCAAUAUAGCGAUACGACGUAUUGA